rnacentral:rRNA from 1 species
GACAGAGGGGGCAAGCGUUGCUCGGAAUUACUGGGCGUAAAGGGCGCGUAGGCGGGAUGGCAAGUCGGUCGUGAAAUCCUUCGGCUCAACCGAAGAACGUCGAUCGAUACUGCUGUUCUUGAGGGUUGCAGAGGAGACUGGAAUUCCCGGUGUAGCGGUGAAAUGUGUAGAGAUCGGGAGGAACACCGGUGGCGAAGGCGGGUCUCUGGGCAAUUCCUGACGCUGAGGCGCGAAAGCAUGGGGAGCAAACGGG